rnacentral:rRNA from 1 species
UACGUAGGGUGCAAGCGUUGUCCGGAAUUAUUGGGCGUAAAGAGCUCGUAGGCGGUCUGCCGCGUCUGCUGUGAAAACUCAGGGCUUAACCCUGAGCUUGCAGUGGGUACGGGCAGACUAGAGUGCGGUAGGGGAGACUGGAAUUCCUGGUGUAGCGGUGAAAUGCGCAGAUAUCAGGAGGGAACACCCGGUGGGCGAAGGCGG